rnacentral:rRNA from 1 species
UGGGGAAUUUUGGACAAUGGGGGCAACCCUGAUCCAGCCAUCCCGCGUGUGCGAUGAAGGCCCUCGGGUUGUAAAGCACUUUUGGCAGGGAAGAAACAGCCUGGGAUAAUACCCCGGGCGACUGACGGUACCUGCAGAAUAAGCACCGGCUAACUACGUGCCAGCAGCCGCGGUAAUACGUAGGGUGCAAGCGUUAAUCGGAAUUACUGGGCGUAAAGCGUGCGCAGGCGGUUCGGAAAGAAAGGUGUGAAAUCCCAGGGCUUAACCUUGGAACUGCACUUUUAACUACCGAGCUAGAGUACGUCAGAGGGGGGUAGAAUUCCACGUGUAGCAGUGAAAUGCGUAGAGAUGUGGAGGAAUACCGAUGGCGAAGGCAGCCCCUGGGAUGAUACUGACGCUCAUGCACGAAAGCGUGGGGAGCAAACAGGAUUAGAUACCCUGGUAGUCCACGCCCUAAACGAUGUCAACUAGCUGUUGGGGUUUAUUAACCUUAGUAGCGCAGCUAACGCGUGAAGUUGACCGCCUGGGAGUACGGUCGCAAGAUUAAAACUCAAA